GGUUGUAUGAGGUAGUGGUUAGCCUAUCUGAUUUUGAAAGAAUUUCAGAAUACCUGAGUUCGAAUCUCGGUACGACCU